UUAAAACACAAAACACACAUACGUGUGAUGAUGUCUGCGAUGCCACAAGGAGCUCUCAAAACUCAACCCUAAACUUCAAGAAAUUCAUCAAAUUGAAGGGGCAAAUCGAACCCAAAUCGAAAUCCGAGCACAAAAUAGUGAUCACCUCAGUGAAGGGAUCAUAAGUUUGACUCUUGACAAGCUAGAUGGAGGCUUGGGAAUGAAGCGGGUCAAACGGAGUACGAGAAGAAAAGCGUAAACCAUACGAGAGGUAAAGAUGCUCUUUAGACCCCGGAGGAUGAUCAAGCCAUGUCAAGAACCGAACACACCGAACAAAGCUUCCGCAUUUUGUCUAUUUUGUUUUAUGACAUGUAAACACUUGAAAUUAUGUUUUGAAAGUUUAUCUAGCAUGAUGUGGGCUUGAAUGUUAUGAUCAAGUAUGAUCUUAAGACCAUGAAGUUUUUGUAAACACGAAAAAUUUUGUACUAAAUGCAUGAUAAAUGUCAUAAAUCC